GGGUUGUGAGGUUAAGCGACUAAGCGUACACGGUGGAUGCCCUGGCAGUCAGAGGCGAUGAAGGACGUGCUAAUCUGCGAUAAGCGUCGGUAAGGUGAUAUGAACCGUUAUAACCGGCGAUUUCCGAAUGGGGAAACCCAGUGUGAUUCGUCACACUAUCAUUAACUGAAUCCAUAGGUUAAUGAGGCGAACCGGGGGAACUGAAACAUCUAAGUACCCCGAGGAAAAGAAAUCAACCGAGAUUCCCCCAGUAGCGGCGAGCGAACGGGGAGCAGCCCAGAGCCUGAAUCAGUGUGUGUGUUAGUGGAAGCGUCUGGAAAGGCGCGCGAUACAGGGUGACAGCCCCGUACACAAAAAUGCACAUGCUGUGAGCUCGAUGAGUAGGGCGGGACACGUGGUAUCCUGUCUGAAUAUGGGGGGACCAUCCUCCAAGGCUAAAUACUCCUGACUGACCGAUAGUGAACCAGUACCGUGAGGGAAAGGCGAAAAGAACCCCGGCGAGGGGAGUGAAAAAGAACCUGAAACCGUGUACGUACAAGCAGUGGGAGCACGCUUAGGCGUGUGACUGCGUACCUUUUGUAUAAUGGGUCAGCGACUUAUAUUCUGUAGCAAGGUUAACCGAAUAGGGGAGCCGAAGGGAAACCGAGUCUUAACUGGGCGUUAAGUUGCAGGGUAUAGACCCGAAACCCGGUGAUCUAGCCAUGGGCAGGUUGAAGGUUGGGUAACACUAACUGGAGGACCGAACCGACUAAUGUUGAAAAAUUAGCGGAUGACUUGUGGCUGGGGGUGAAAGGCCAAUCAAACCGGGAGAUAGCUGGUUCUCCCCGAAAGCUAUUUAGGUAGCGCCUCGUGAAUUCAUCUCCGGGGGUAGAGCACUGUUUCGGCAAGGGGGUCAUCCCGACUUACCAACCCGAUGCAAACUGCGAAUACCGGAGAAUGUUAUCACGGGAGACACACGGCGGGUGCUAACGUCCGUCGUGAAGAGGGAAACAACCCAGACCGCCAGCUAAGGUCCCAAAGUCAUGGUUAAGUGGGAAACGAUGUGGGAAGGCCCAGACAGCCAGGAUGUUGGCUUAGAAGCAGCCAUCAUUUAAAGAAAGCGUAAUAGCUCACUGGUCGAGUCGGCCUGCGCGGAAGAUGUAACGGGGCUAAACCAUGCACCGAAGCUGCGGCAGCGACGCUUAUGCGUUGUUGGGUAGGGGAGCGUUCUGUAAGCCUGUGAAGGUGUACUGUGAGGUAUGCUGGAGGUAUCAGAAGUGCGAAUGCUGACAUAAGUAACGAUAAAGCGGGUGAAAAGCCCGCUCGCCGGAAGACCAAGGGUUCCUGUCCAACGUUAAUCGGGGCAGGGUGAGUCGACCCCUAAGGCGAGGCCGAAAGGCGUAGUCGAUGGGAAACAGGUUAAUAUUCCUGUACUUGGUGUUACUGCGAAGGGGGGACGGAGAAGGCUAUGUUGGCCGGGCGACGGUUGUCCCGGUUUAAGCGUGUAGGCUGGUUUUCCAGGCAAAUCCGGAAAAUCAAGGCCGAGGCGUGAUGACGAGGCACUACGGUGCUGAAGCAACAAAUGCCCUGCUUCCAGGAAAAGCCUCUAAGCAUCAGGUAACAUCAAAUCGUACCCCAAACCGACACAGGUGGUCAGGUAGAGAAUACCAAGGCGCUUGAGAGAACUCGGGUGAAGGAACUAGGCAAAAUGGUGCCGUAACUUCGGGAGAAGGCACGCUGAUACGUAGGUGAAGCGACUUGCUCGUGGAGCUGAAAUCAGUCGAAGAUACCAGCUGGCUGCAACUGUUUAUUAAAAACACAGCACUGUGCAAACACGAAAGUGGACGUAUACGGUGUGACGCCUGCCCGGUGCCGGAAGGUUAAUUGAUGGGGUUAGCGCAAGCGAAGCUCUUGAUCGAAGCCCCGGUAAACGGCGGCCGUAACUAUAACGGUCCUAAGGUAGCGAAAUUCCUUGUCGGGUAAGUUCCGACCUGCACGAAUGGCGUAAUGAUGGCCAGGCUGUCUCCACCCGAGACUCAGUGAAAUUGAACUCGCUGUGAAGAUGCAGUGUACCCGCGGCAAGACGGAAAGACCCCGUGAACCUUUACUAUAGCUUGACACUGAACAUUGAGCCUUGAUGUGUAGGAUAGGUGGGAGGCUUUGAAGUGUGGACGCCAGUCUGCAUGGAGCCGACCUUGAAAUACCACCCUUUAAUGUUUGAUGUUCUAACGUGGACCCGUGAUCCGGGUUGCGGACAGUGUCUGGUGGGUAGUUUGACUGGGGCGGUCUCCUCCUAAAGAGUAACGGAGGAGCACGAAGGUUGGCUAAUCCUGGUCGGACAUCAGGAGGUUAGUGCAAUGGCAUAAGCCAGCUUGACUGCGAGCGUGACGGCGCGAGCAGGUGCGAAAGCAGGUCAUAGUGAUCCGGUGGUUCUGAAUGGAAGGGCCAUCGCUCAACGGAUAAAAGGUACUCCGGGGAUAACAGGCUGAUACCGCCCAAGAGUUCAUAUCGACGGCGGUGUUUGGCACCUCGAUGUCGGCUCAUCACAUCCUGGGGCUGAAGUAGGUCCCAAGGGUAUGGCUGUUCGCCAUUUAAAGUGGUACGCGAGCUGGGUUUAGAACGUCGUGAGACAGUUCGGUCCCUAUCUGCCGUGGGCGCUGGAGAACUGAGGGGGGCUGCUCCUAGUACGAGAGGACCGGAGUGGACGCAUCACUGGUGUUCGGGUUGUCAUGCCAAUGGCACUGCCCGGUAGCUAAAUGCGGAAGAGAUAAGUGCUGAAAGCAUCUAAGCACGAAACUUGCCCCGAGAUGAGUUCUCCCUGACCCUUUAAGGGUCCUGAAGGAACGUUGAAGACGACGACGUUGAUAGGCCGGGUGUGUAAGCGCAGCGAUGCGUUGAGCUAACCGGUACUAAUGAACCGUGAGGCUUAACCUUACAACGCCGAAG
rnacentral:rRNA from 1 species